UUGAAUUGAAGAGUUUGAUCAUGGCUCAGAUUGAACGCUGGCGGCAGGCUUAACACAUGCAAGUCGAACGGUAGCAGGAGAAAGCUUGCUUUCUUGCUGACGAGUGGCGGACGGGUGAGUAAUGCUUGGGAAUCUGGCUUAUGGAGGGGGAUAACGACGGGAAACUGUCGCUAAUACCGCGUAUUAUCGGAAGAUGAAAGUGCGGGACUGAGAGGCCGCAUGCCAUAGGAUGAGCCCAAGUGGGAUUAGGUAGUUGGUGGGGUAAAUGCCUACCAAGCCUGCGAUCUCUAGCUGGUCUGAGAGGAUGACCAGCCACACUGGAACUGAGACACGGUCCAGACUCCUACGGGAGGCAGCAGUGGGGAAUAUUGCGCAAUGGGGGGAACCCUGACGCAGCCAUGCCGCGUGAAUGAAGAAGGCCUUCGGGUUGUAAAGUUCUUUCGGUAUUGAGGAAGGUUGAUGUGUUAAUAGCACAUCAAAUUGACGUUAAAUACAGAAGAAGCACCGGCUAACUCCGUGCCAGCAGCCGCGGUAAUACGGAGGGUGCGAGCGUUAAUCGGAAUAACUGGGCGUAAAGGGCACGCAGGCGGUUAUUUAAGUGAGGUGUGAAAGCCC
rnacentral:rRNA from 1 species